GAUGAACGCUGGCGGCGUGCCUAAUACAUGCAAGUCGAGCGAACGGACGAGAAGCUUGCUUCUCUGAUGUUAGCGGCGGACGGGUGAGUAACACGUGGAUAACCUACCUAUAAGACUGGGAUAACUUCGGGAAACCGGAGCUAAUACCGGAUGAUAUUUUGAACCGCAUGGUUCAAAAGUGAAAGACGGUCUUGCUGUCACUUAUAGAUGGAUCCGCGCUGCAUUAGCUAGUUGGUAAGGUAACGGCUUACCAAGGCAACGAUGCAUAGCCGACCUGAGAGGGUGAUCGGCCACACUGGAACUGAGACACGGUCCAGACGCCUACGGGAGGCAGCAGUAGGGAAUCUUCCGCAAGGGGCGAAAGCCUGACGGAGCAACGCCGCGUGAGUGAUGAAGGUCUUCGGAUCGUAAAACUCUGUUAUUAGGGAAGAACAUAUGUGUAAGUAACUGUGCACAUCUUGACUGUACCUAAUCAGAAAGCCACGGCUAACUACGU
rnacentral:rRNA from 1 species